rnacentral:rRNA from 1 species
CCCUUAGAUGUCCGGGGCCGCACGCGCGCUACACUGAAGGAAUAAGCGUGGCUUUCUCCCUAACCCGAAAGGGUUGGGAAACCCGUUGAAUCUCCUUCGUGAUAGGGAUUGGGGCUUGAAAUUGUUCCCCAUGAACGAGGAAUUCCCAGUAAGCGCGAGUCAUAAGCUCGCGUUGAUUACGUCCCUGCCCUUUGUACACACCGCCCGUCGCUACUACCGAUUGAACGGUUUAGUGAGGGCCUCGGAUUGGUCUCGGCCCGCUCUUUACCGGGCGGCGCCGUUGGUCGAGAAGACGCUCGAACUUGAUCGUUUAGAGGAAGUAAAAGUCGUAACA